rnacentral:rRNA from 1 species
CCUACGGGUGGCAGCAGUGAGGAAUAUUGGUCAAUGGGCGUAAGCCUGAACCAGCCAAGUCGCGUGAGGGAUGAAGGUUCUAUGGAUCGUAAACCUCUUUUAUAAGGGAAUACAGUGUGGUACGUGUCCUGUUUUGUAUGUACCUUAUGAAUAAGGAUCGGCUAACUCCGUGCCAGCAGCCGCGGUAAUGAGGAGGAUACGCGCGUUAUCCGGAUUUAUUGGUUUUAAAGGGUGCGUAGGCGGCCUUUUAAGUCAGCGGUGAAAGUCUGUGGUUCAACCAUAGAAUUGCCGUUGAAACUGGGAGGAUUGAGUAUGUUUGAGGCAGGGGGAAUGCGUGGUGUAGCGGUGAAAUGCUUAGAUAGCACGCAGAACCCCGAGUGCGAAGGCAGCCUGCCAAGCCAUGACUGACGCUGAUGCACGAAAGCGUGGGGAUCAAACAGGAUUAGAUACCCCAGUAGUC